rnacentral:rRNA from 1 species
AAUGAACGUUGGCGGCGUGGAUUAGGCAUGCAAGUCGAGCGAGAACCCCGCAAGGGGGGACAGCGGCAAACGGGGUAGUAAUGUGUCGGAACGUGCCCAGAGGACGGGGAUAGCGGCGGGAAACUGCCGGUAAUACCCGAUGAUCUCGAGAGAGCAAAGGUGUGAUUCCGCCUUUGGAGCGGCCGGCAUGGUAUUAGCUAGUUGGCGGGGUAAAGGCCCACCAAGGCUGUGAUGCCUAGGGGAUGUGAGAGCAUGAUCCCCACCAUUGGGACUGAGACACUGCCCAGACACCUACGGGUGGCUGCAGUCGAGAAUCUUCGUCAAUGGGCGAAAGCCUGAGCGAGCGACGCCGCUUGUGGGAUGAAGGCCUUUGGGUUGUAAACCACUGUCGAGGGGGAUGAAGGCAUUCAGGUCCUCCUGAAUGUUUGACAGAGCCCUGGAGGAAGCACGGGCUAAGUUCGUGCCAGCAGCCGCGGUAACAC